rnacentral:rRNA from 1 species
GACAGAGGGUGCAAACGUUGUUCGGAAUUACUGGGCGUAAAGCGCGCGUAGGCGGCUCGGAAAGUCGGUCGUGAAAUGCCCGGGGCUCAACCCCGGGACUGCGUCCGAUACUCCCGAGCUGGAGGCAGGUAGGGAGAUCGGAAUUCCUGGUGUAGGCGGUGAAAUGCGCAGAUAUCAGGAGGAACACCGGUGGCGAAGGCGGAUCUCUGGGCCUUGACCUGACGCUGAGGCGCGAAAGCUAGGGGAGCGAACAGG